rnacentral:rRNA from 1 species
AGUGAACGCUGGCGGUAGGCCUAACACAUGCAAGUCGAACGGCAGCACAGGAGAGCUUGCUCUCUGGGUGGCGAGUGGCGGACGGGUGAGGAAUACAUCGGAAUCUACCUUUUCGUGGGGGAUAACGUAGGGAAACUUACGCUAAUACCGCAUACGACCUUAGGGUGAGAGCGGAGGACCUUCGGGCUUCGCGCGGAUAG